rnacentral:rRNA from 1 species
AUUGAACGCUGGCGGUAGGCCUAACACAUGCAAGUCGAACGCGAAAGUCCUUCGGGAUGAGUAGAGUGGCGGACGGGUGAGUAACGCGUAGGAAUCUAUCCUGUAGUGGGGGAUAACGUUUCGAAAGGAACGCUAAUACCGCAUACGCCCCAAGGGGGAAAGCGGGGGAUCUUCGGACCUCGUGCUAUAGGAGGAGCCUGCGUCGGAUUAGCUAGUUGGUGAGGUAAAGGCUCACCAAGUCGACGGUCCGUAGCUGGUCUGAGAGGAUGAUCAGCAACACCGGAACUGAGACACGGUCCGGACUCCAACGGGAGGCAGCAGUGGGGAAUAUUGCGCAAUGGGCGAAAGCCUGACGCAGCCAUACCGCGUGUGUGAAGAAGGCCUCCGGGUUGUAAAGCACUUUCAGUGGGGAGGAAAAGCUGGUGGCUAAUAUCCAUCGGCCGUGACGCUACCCACAGAAGAAGCACCGGCUAAUUCCGUGCCAGCCGCCGCGGUAAGAC